rnacentral:misc_RNA from 1 species
GAUGAAGAACGUAGCGAAAUGCGAUAAGUAAUGUGAAUUGCAGAAUUCAGUGAAUCAUCGAAUCUUUGAACGCACAUUGCGCCCGCCAGCAUUCUGGCGGGCAUGCCUGUUCGAGCGUCAUUUCAACCCUCGAGCCCCCCCGGGGGCCUCGGUGUUGGGGGACGGCACACCAGCCGCCCCCGAAAUGCAGUGGCGACCCCGCCGCAGCCUCCCCUGCGUAGUAGCACACACCUCGCACCGGAGCGCGGAGGCGGUCACGCCGUAAAACGCCCAACUUUCUUAGAGUUGACCUCGGAUCAGGUAGGAAUACCCGCUGAACUUAAGCAUAUCAAUAAGCGGA